GGUGAAAGCAGNGGACCUUCGGGCCUUGCGCCAUUGAAUGAGCCCAGAUCGGAUUAGCUAGUUGGCGGGGUAAGAGCCCACCAAGGCGACGAUCCGUAGCUGGUCUGAGAGGAUGAUCAGCCACACUGGAACUGAGACACGGUCCAGACUCCUACGGGAGGCAGCAGUGGGGAAUAUUGGACAAUGGGCGCAAGCCUGAUCCAGCCAUACCGCGUGGGUGAAGAAGGCCUUCGGGUUGUAAAGCCCUUUUGUUGGGAAAGAAAAGCAGCGGGCUAAUACCCAGCUGUUCUGACGGUACCCAAAGAAUAAGCACCGGCUAA
rnacentral:rRNA from 1 species